CAGGAGGGCAGGGGGAGGACUGCAUAGGUCCAUACUGGUGCAAGAAAAGCCUGGAUAAGACAGAGCAGCACCCACCCUCCCAACCAUUCAAGAAGAGUGUAAGAGAGGAUUUUAUAUAUGUAUAUGGAGAGAGAGAGAGAGUUCAAACUGACUUAAGAAAAGACAAGGUGUUCCUCCACAUCCCCUUCAGGGCUCUGAAGGUUCUUUUUCUCUCCUCCUCUUUGCCCUCCACCCUUAUUUAGACCACCCUUCAUCCCAUAUUCAGUGGCCCACAUCAGAGCCAUCACCUUUCUGGCUGAGAAGGUAUGGACAGGACACCUUUGGAAGUCUCUCAAUUUCAUUUCUCAAUCCUUUGAAUGGAAGAAUGAGAAGACCUAGGAUAACAUAAUGGAAUGGAACUCAGGCCAGACAGUUUCAAAGUGAUUUAAAGAUCAAGACAGCAGCGCUGAGGAUAAGAACAAUGUGUAUCACCAGAGGGGAAAAUAAUCAGAAAAAGGAAUAAGAUCAAGUAAGUGAAGCCUCCUCUUUCUCUUCAUCAUGGGGCUGCUACUUUCUCUCCACAUACAAGAGAACACUGUGUUUCUUGUAAUAUCUCACCUAGAUUCAUUCUACCAAAAUUCAGUUUGCUUAUUUCCAGGACACACUAGAGUCAAUAACAUACCAGGAUGUUUUACAUUGUACACUACAUUUGUAGCAGAAGAGAGAUGGUGAACAGACAAAAUUGCUUCUCAGAGUUUCCAGUUUUUUCUGGUGAAUGCUUCUGAAAACAGAAGAGGCUCUUAAGCCUGACAAGACAUUUAGUGUAAACAAUUUGCAUCCUAUAUCCCUCUAAGAAAAGGCGGAAGACAGAAAAGCUCCAACAGAUAAUGUCACAGGCAAGGUUGUUGAUGAUACUGAACUGGAAGACUCAUUAACUAAUAAAGGACAAUGUAAAAUGUAAUCUGAUUCAGAAUGACUGGAAUUGUUUAAGUACCUGACUAAUAGAGUGCAAAUGGAGUUCACUGCAGAUUCAAAUAUUAGUAAAUUCUGAAGUAAAGAGCCACAAGAUAUGAGAUAAAUAGUAAGGCAGGGUAAUAAACUGACAAGAAAAUAGAUUUGAAAGAAAUUGGAGGAAAAUGUUGUAUUAAAAGUCAUCAGAUUGUCAGCUGCAAUGAAGAAAGCAGUCAGAAAUAUUGCUAGAGGAAUACACAGAAGGACGAGAUUUAAAGAAACACUAUAAAGAGCAGUAUACAUCACUGUUCACCACAGAUAUAAUAGUCUGGCAUGAUAGCAAGUCUCCUUAAGUUACUUUAUAAGAAAAGAUUAAGAAAGUUGAACUUAUUCUCACUGGAGGAAAGGAGAGUUCAUAAUGACCUAAUUUAGAGAUUUUUAAAUUGUAAAAGGGAUUGAUAAAAUUGAUCCACACAGUGCUGAACUGUUAUAGCCUUACAUUCAAGAAGUUUGCAAUCAGCUCUCUGUGGAGAAACAAAUCAAUAGAAUCUCUCCUACCUGCCAAACUCCUCUUUAUGUCAAAGAGGUUCAUUCUGAACAGCCGAUUGUUUAAGUAACUUAAUCAGUUCUUUGGGGUUUUUUUCUGUGCACACAUGGAAGGUGUACCUAUCACAGGGAUGCAGAAGAAGGGGAGGGGACAUGGCUUCAGUUGACAAAAUCAAUUAUCUUUAAAUCGCUAGUCUGAACAUUUAUCUUCAAUGUAGUAUAUAACAUAGUAAACUAGUAUGUUCCUAGGAAAAGUAAAUGUAAAGCAAUGGAGUUACCCAGGUGCUACUCUAUUGACACCAACGGAGUUACUUCUAACUUACAUCAGUGUAAGUGAGAGACGAAUUGGGUCCAUAAGGACCUGGACCACUUUGUACAGUCAU